AGAGUUUGAUCCUGGCUCAGGACGAACGCUGGCGGCGCGCCUAACACAUGCAAGUCGAACGAGAGAUGAGGAGCUUGCUCUUCAAAUCGAGUGGCGAACGGGUGAGUAACGCGUGAGGAACCUGCCUCAAAGAGGGGGACAACAGUUGGAAACGACUGCUAAUACCGCAUAAGCCCACGGCUCGGCAUCGAGCAGAGGGAAAAGGAGCAAUCCGCUUUGAGAUGGCCUCGCGUCCGAUUAGCUAGUUGGUGAGGUAACGGCCCACCAAGGCGACGAUCGGUAGCCGGACUGAGAGGUUGAACGGCCACAUUGGGACUGAGACACGGCCCAGACUCCUACGGGAGGCAGCAGUGGGGAAUAUUGCACAAUGGGGGAAACCCUGAUGCAGCGACGCCGCGUGGAGGAAGAAGGUCUUCGGAUUGUAAACUCCUGUUGUUGAGGAAGAUAAUGACGGUACUCAACAAGGAAGUGACGGCUAACUACGUGCCAGCAGCCGCGGUAAAACGUAGGUCACAAGCGUUGUCCGGAAUUACUGGGUGUAAAGGGAGCGCAGGCGGGAGAACAAGUUGGAAGUGAAAUCCAUGGGCUCAACCCAUGAACUGCUUUCAAAACUGUUUUUCUUGAGUAGUGCAGAGGUAGGCGGAAUUCCCGGUGUAGCGGUGGAAUGCGUAGAUAUCGGGAGGAACACCAGUGGCGAAGGCGGCCUACUGGGCACCAACUGACGCUGAGGCUCGAAAGCAUGGGUAGCAAACAGGAUUAGAUACCCUGGUAGUCCAUGCCGUAAACGAUGAUUACUAGGUGUUGGAGGAUUGACCCCUUCAGUGCCGCAGUUAACACAAUAAGUAAUCCACCUGGGGAGUACGACCGCAAGGUUGAAACUCAA
rnacentral:rRNA from 1 species